UACGAAGGGUGCAAGCGUUACUCGGAAUUACUGGGCGUAAAGGGCGCGUAGGCGGCUUGGCAAGUGGAUGGUGAAAUCCCUCGGCUUAACCGAGGAACUGCCGUCCAAACUGCUUCGCUUGAGACCGGGAGAGGUGAGUGGAAUUCCCAGUGUAGCGGUGAAAUGCGUAGAUAUUGGGAGGAACACCAGUGGCGAAGGCGGCUCACUGGACCGGUACUGACGCUGAUGCGCGAAAGCGUGGGGAGCAAACGGG
rnacentral:rRNA from 1 species